AUUGAACGCUGGCGGCAGGCCUAACACAUGCAAGUCGAACGGUAACAGGAAGCAGCUUGCUGCUUCGCUGACGAGUGGCGGACGGGUGAGUAAUGUCUGGGAAACUGCCUGAUGGAGGGGGAUAACUACUGGAAACGGUAGCUAAUACCGCAUAACGUCGCAAGACCAAAGAGGGGGACCUUAGGGCCUCUUGCCAUCGGAUGUGCCCAGAUGGGAUUAGCUAGUAGGUGGGGUAACGGCUCACCUAGGCGACGAUCCCUAGCUGGUCUGAGAGGAUGACCAGCCACACUGGAACUGAGACACGGUCCAGACUCCUACGGGAGGCAGCAGUGGGGAAUAUUGCACAAUGGGCGCAAGCCUGAUGCAGCCAUGCCGCGUGUAUGAAGAAGGCCUUCGGGUUGUAAAGUACUUUCAGCGGGGAGGAAGGGAGUAAAGUUAAUACCUUUGCUCAUUGACGUUACCCGCAGAUGAAGCACCGGCUAACUCCGUG
rnacentral:rRNA from 1 species